rnacentral:lncRNA from 1 species
CCUUCGACGUGUGCGUCGCCAAGACGUGGCAGUCCCGCGUCCGCGCGCUCCGGCUCGACGCCGACGACCCGUCCCGCCCAGUCCACGUCUGCUUCUUCGCCAACACCCGCCACCUCCUGCCGCCGGCGCCGGGGUUCUACGGCAACUGCUUCUACACGGUGAAGGCGACGCGUCCCUGCGGCGAGAUCGCCGCCGCCGGCGUGGUGGAGGUGGUGCGCGCGAUCCGGGACGCCAAGGCGCGGCUGGCCGCGGACUUCGCGCGGUGGGCGGGCGGAGGGUUCGAGCGCGACCCCUACGAGCUCACCUUCACCUACGACUCGCUCUUCGUCUCCGACUGGACGCGGCUCGGGUUCCUGGAGGCGGACUACGGGUGGGGCACGCCGGCGCACGUCCUGCCCUUCUCGUACCACCCCUUCAUGGCCGUCGCCGUCAUCGGAGCGCCGCCGGCGCCCAAGCCCGGAGCGCGCGUCAUGACCAUGUGCGUCACGGAGAAGCAC